AGAUUGAACGCUGGCGGCAUGCCUUACACAUGCAAGUCGAACGGCAGCACGGGGGCAACCCUGGUGGCGAGUGGCGAACGGGUGAGUAAUACAUCGGAACGUGUCCUGUAGUGGGGGAUAGCCCGGCGAAAGCCGGAUUAAUACCGCAUACGCUCUACGGAGGAAAGGGGGGGAUCUUAGGACCUCCCGCUACAGGGGCGGCCGAUGGCAGAUUAGCUAGUUGGUGGGGUAAGGGCCUACCAAGGCGACGAUCUGUAGCUGGUCUGAGAGGACGACCAGCCACACUGGGACUGAGACACGGCCCAGACUCCUACGGGAGGCAGCAGUGGGGAAUUUUGGACAAUGGGGGCAACCCUGAUCCAGCAAUGCCGCGUGUGUGAAGAAGGCCUUCGGGUUGUAAAGCACUUUUGUCCGGAAAGAAAACGCCGUGGUUAAUACCCGUGGCGGAUGACGGUACCGGAAGAAUAAGCACCGGCUAACUACGUGCCAGCAGCCGCGGUAAUACGUAGGAUGCAAGCGUUAAUCGGAAUUACUGGGCGUAAAGCGUGCGCAGGCGGUCCGCUAAGACAGAUGUGAAAUCCCCGGGCUUAACCUGGGAACUGCAUUUGUGACUGGCGGGCUAGAGUAUGGCAGAGGGGGGUAGAAUUCCACGUGUAGCAGUGAAAUGCGUAGAGAUGUGGAGGAAUACCGAUGGCGAAGGCAGCCCCCUGGGCCAAUACUGACGCUCAUGCACGAAAGCGUGGGGAGCAAACAGGAUUAGAUACCCUGGUAGUCCACGCCCUAAACGAUGUCAACUAGUUGUCGGGUCUUCAUUGACUUGGUAACGUAGCUAACGCGUGAAGUUGACCGCCUGGGGAGUACGGU
rnacentral:rRNA from 1 species